UGAUGAAUUUUGACAGAUUUUAGAGAAAAAAUUACAAGUCAUCCCUAUCUCUAGUUGUUAGUAUACCCAACCGACCUCUGGCCACAUGCAUUAGAAGAGAUCAACAUCUUACUGAUCUGUAGAUUACGUAUUGCAUCACAUCAGUUAACUUGAGAACUCACCAGUACUACUCUAAAUUAGAUCGGAUUGUCACCAAUCGGAAGCUGUCUACCA
rnacentral:lncRNA from 1 species